rnacentral:rRNA from 1 species
UACGAAGGUUGCGAGCGUUAUCCGGAUUUAUUGGGUUUAAAGGGAGCGUAGGCGGUCUUAUAAGUCAGUGGUGAAAUCCUAUCGCUUAACGAUAGACGUGCCAUUGAUACUGUAGGACUUGAGUACAGAUGCCGUUGGCGGAAUGUGUCAUGUAGCGGUGAAAUGCAUAGAUAUGACACAGAACACCGAUUGCGAAGGCAGCUGACGAAACUGUAACUGACGCUGAGGCUCGAAAGCGUGGGGAUCAAACAGG